rnacentral:rRNA from 1 species
AUACGGAGGGUGCGAGCGUUAAUCGGAAUUACUGGGCGUAAAGCGCGCGUAGGCGGCUUGGUCAGUCGGAUGUGAAAGCCCCGGGCUUAACCUGGGAAUUGCAUUCGAUACUGCCAGGCUAGAGUAUGUUAGAGGAAAGUGGAAUUCCCGGUGUAGCGGUGAAAUGCGUAGAUAUCGGGAGGAACAUCAGUGGCGAAGGCGACUUUCUAGAUCAAUACUGACGCUGAAGUGCGAAAGCGUGGGGAGCAAACAGGAUUAGAAACCCCGGUAGUCC